UACGGAGGGUGCAAGCGUUGUCCGGAUUUAUUGGGUUUAAAGGGUGCGUAGGCGGCUAUUUAAGUCAGUGGUGAAAUCCUGCAGCUCAACUGUAGAAUUGCCAUUGAUACUGGAUAGCUUGAGUACAGACGAGGUAGGCGGAAUUUAUGGUGUAGCGGUGAAAUGCAUAGAUACCAUAAAGAACCCCUAUUGCGAAGGCAGCUUACUAGGCUGUAACUGACGCUGAGGCACGAAAGCGUGGGGAUCAAACAGG
rnacentral:rRNA from 1 species